rnacentral:rRNA from 1 species
AUACGUAGGGGGCGAGCGUUGUCCGGAAUGAUUGGGCGUAAAGGGCGCGUAGGCGGCCCGGUAAGUCUGGAGUGAAAGUCCUGUUUUUAAGAUGGGAAUUGCUUUGGAUACUGUCGGGCUUGAGUGCAGGAGAGGUAAGUGGAAUUCCCAGUGUAGCGGUGAAAUGCGUAGAGAUUGGGAGGAACACCAGUGGCGAAGGCGACUUACUGGACUGUAACUGACGCUGAGGCGCGAAAGUGUGGGGAGAAAACAGGAUUAGUUCCCUGGGUAGUCCCCAUUGUAAACGAGGAUUCCAAGGUGUAGGGGGUAUCGACCCCUUCUGUGCCGCAGUCAACACAAUAAGCAUUCCGCCUGGGGAGUACGGCCGCAAGGUUGAAACUCAAAUGAAUUGGCGGGG